UACGAAGGGGGCUAGCGUUGUUCGGAAUUACUGGGCGUAAAGCGCGUGUAGGCGGGUCUUUAAGUCAGGGGUGAAAUGCCAAGGCUCAACCUUGGAACUGCCUUUGAUACUGGAGACCUUGAGUCCGGGAGAGGUGAGUGGAAUUGCGAGUGUAGAGGUGAAAUUCGUAGAUAUUCGGAAGAACACCAGUGGCGAAGGCGACUUACUGGACACAUAUUGACGCUGAGGUGCGAAAGCGUGGGGAGCAAACAGG
rnacentral:rRNA from 1 species